GUCGAACGGCAGCACGGACUUCGGUCUGGUGGCGAGUGGCGAACGGGUGAGUAAUGUAUCGGAACGUGCCCAGUAGCGGGGGAUAACUACGCGAAAGCGUAGCUAAUACCGCAUACGCCCUACGGGGGAAAGCAGGGGAUCGCAAGACCUUGCACUAUUGGAGCGGCCGAUAUCGGAUUAGCUAGUUGGUGGGGUAACGGCUCACCAAGGCGACGAUCCGUAGCUGGUUUGAGAGGACGACCAGCCACACUGGGACUGAGACACGGCCCAGACUCCUACGGGAGGCAGCAGUGGGGAAUUUUGGACAAUGGGGGAAACCCUGAUCCAGCCAUCCCGCGUGUGCGAUGAAGGCCUUCGGGUUGUAAAGCACUUUUGGCAGGAAAGAAACGUCGCGGGCUAAUACCCCGCGGAACUGACGGUACCUGCAGAAUAAGCACCGGCUAACUACGUGCCAGCAGCCGCGGUAAUACGUAGGGUGCAAGCGUUAAUCGGAAUUACUGGGCGUAAAGCGUGCGCAGGCGGUUCGGAAAGAAAGAUGUGAAAUCCCAGAGCUUAACUUUGGAACUGCAUUUUUAACUACCGGGCUAGAGUGUGUCAGAGGGAGGUGGAAUUCCGCGUGUGGCAGUGAAAUGCGUAGAUAUGCGGAGGAACACCGAUGGCGAAAGCAGCCUCCUGGGAUAACACUGACGCUCAUGCACGAAAGCGUGGGGAGCAAA
rnacentral:rRNA from 1 species